AUUUUGAUUUAGAGCCCGGCAUCCAUUUAACCGCAUUCACGUCCCCCUUAUGUCCACGCAAAGUGGCAUAAGCAGUUCCCGGCACUCGGAUGUCAAUCAUUUGGACGUCAGAAGAAUUAUGGUGGAAAGUUGCCAUUAAAUUAACAUCGGAAUCGCAAGCAGAAAGUCGAAGUAAAGGAGCUGAGACAGGAGGAGAAGCAUUUGUAUAGUCACCGUUUCUCUUCCAAAAGGUGCUAUCGCCCUCAUAUAUGAUCGUGGAAUGAUCCAAUGAUCUAAAGAAAGUUAACAAACUACUGUCAAAAGGAAAAAUC